CAAGGCUGAGGUGUGAUGACGAGGCACUACGGUGCUGAAGUAACAAAUGCCCUGCUUCCAGGAAAAGCCUCUAAGCAUCAGGUAACAUCAAAUCGUACCCCAAACCGACACAGGUGGUCAGGUAGAGAAUACCAAGGCGCUUGAGAGAACUCGGGUGAAGGAACUAGGCAAAAUGGUGCCGUAACUUCGGGAGAAGGCACGCUGGUGUGUAGGUGAAGCCCCUGCGGGUGGAGCUGAGACCAGUCGAAGAUACCAGCUGGCUGCAACUGUUUAUUAAAAACACAGCACUGUGCAAACACGAAAGUGGACGUAUACGGUGUGACGCCUGCCCGGUGCCGGAAGGUUAAUUGAUGGGGUUAUCCGUAAGGAGAAGCUCUUGAUCGAAGCCCCGGUAAACGGCGGCCGUAACUAUAACGGUCCUAAGGUAGCGAAAUUCCUUGUCGGGUAAGUUCCGACCUGCACGAAUGGCGUAAUGAUGGCCAGGCUGUCUCCACCCGAGACUCAGUGAAAUUGAACUCGCUGUGAAGAUGCAGUGUACCCGCGGCAAGACGGAAAGACCCCGUGAACCUUUACUAUAGCUUGACACUGAACAUUGAGCCUUGAUGUGUAGGAUAGGUGGGAGGCUUUGAAGCGUGGACGCCAGUCUGCGUGGAGCCAACCUUGAAAUACCACCCUUUAAUGUUUGAUGUUCUAACGUUGGCCCCUGACCGGGGUUGCGGACAGUGUCUGGUGGGUAGUUUGACUGGGGCGGUCUCCUCCCAAAGCGUAACGGAGGAGCACGAAGGUUAGCUAAUCCUGGUCGGACAUCAGGAGGUUAGUGCAAUGGCAUAAGCUAGCUUGACUGCGAGCGUGACGGCGCGAGCAGGUGCGAAAGCAGGUCAUAGUGAUCCGGUGGUUCUGAAUGGAAGGGCCAUCGCUCAACGGAUAAAAGGUACUCCGGGGAUAACAGGCUGAUACCGCCCAAGAGUUCAUAUCGACGGCGGUGUUUGGCACCUCGAUGUCGGCUCAUCACAUCCUGGGGCUGAAGUAGGUCCCAAGGGUAUGGCUGUUCGCCAUUUAAAGUGGUACGCGAGCUGGGUUUAGAACGUCGUGAGACAGUUCGGUCCCUAUCUGCCGUGGGCGCUGGAGAAUUGAGGGGGGCUGCUCCUAGUACGAGAGGACCGGAGUGGACGCAUCACUGGUGUUCGGGUUGUCAUGCCAAUGGCACUGCCCGGUAGCUAAAUGCGGAAGAGAUAAGUGCUGAAAGCAUCUAAGCACGAAACUUGCCCCGAGAUGAGUUCUCCCUGAGACUUUAAGUCUCCUGAAGGAACGUUAAAGACGAUGACGUUGAUAGGCCGGGUGUGUAAGCGCAGCGAUGCGUUGAGCUAACCGGUACUAAUGAACCGUGAGGCUUAACCUUACAACGCCGAAG
rnacentral:rRNA from 1 species